UACGAAGGGGGCUAGCGUUGCUCGGAAUCACUGGGCGUAAAGGGUGCGUAGGCGGGUUUUUAAGUCAGGGGUGAAAUCCUGGAGCUCAACUCCAGAACUGCCUUUGAUACUGAAGAUCUUGAGUUCGGGAGAGGUGAGUGGAACUGCGAGUGUAGAGGUGAAAUUCGUAGAUAUUCGCAAGAACACCAGUGGCGAAGGCGGCUCACUGGCCCGAUACUGACACUGAGGCACGAAAGCGUGGGGAGCAAACAGG
rnacentral:rRNA from 1 species